GGCACCUGCUGUGUGAUUAAAAAGUCAUUUAAUACAGGGAAGAUUGGCAUAGCCCCUGCACCAGGAUGACAGGGAAAUUCAUGAAGUGCUCCAUAUUUUU
rfam:Mesocricetus auratus contig047162, whole genome shotgun sequence.